rnacentral:lncRNA from 1 species
CAUAUGGCAAGCUUUGACUGAUUGAUUAAAGACUUCAUGGUAUACUUUGGUUGAUCAAUCUACUAUAUCGGUUAUGGUCAAUUUCGAGAAGUAUCCCCUAUCAUUUUUAUUUCAAUCUAUUUUAUUGCAAAUUAACAAACAAGAUGAUUAUGUCCUUACAUUUGAGCAUAUUAUAAUAGUGGACUUGCCAUGAGGCAUGGUGAUGCAUAUUAGAAAAAUAAUCAUGCAGUGUUUAGGAGCAGGGAGGGA